rnacentral:lncRNA from 10 species
GAGAAAAGAAGCUCCUUCAGUGCUACAGCACUUCUUUCCACGUUGCUAUUAGGCUUGGAAUGCCAGAGCUAUAUGUUCUCUAUGAAAUUUCCAGCUAAACUGUAAAACUCAAGCAUGUGAAGAACACUUAAGGAGAAUUGUUUUACCCUCAGUCUCUCUAUCAAAGGUCACUCUCUGGGGAGUUUCCCAACCAACAGCAGGAAGCCUCUGCAACCUACUCAACCCAAUUCUACCCCCUAUGUCCAACUUGCUUUAUUAUUUUUUUGGCACUGGCCAGCCUGUGAUACAUAUAGGUUCAAGUUUUGGUUUGUUAUCAAAUAGAAUCUAAGCACCAUGAGCUUUCAGUUUUCUGGUUAAGAUUCAGAUUCAAAUUCAACAGUGGUUUAUAAAUGCUGGAGAUACACACUUAUCUUGCCCAGUAGCUCCCUAAAGCCAAGACAGAGACACCAGAAUCAGAUCAGAUAUGCCCCCCAAGAUCACCAUGAAUUGGCAGGUGUUGUUCAUUCUGUCACUUGUUCACGCAUUCCGUGGGUAUUUUCUGCACACCCACUAGGUACCUGAAGAUGUCCAAAUGGAAACAAUCUUCCUGUUCUUAAAGAUGAGUGGCCAGCGCCUGUCCAGGGUGAAAGAAAGGCCAGACAGAAAGGUGUGGCAUCAGAAGUCAGAUUAGACAAAAGAUGGUGAGGGGAAUUGCAGCAUUGGCUGUAUUUAGCCAUACCUGGGUCAUUCUCUUCUUUCAAAGUAUGCCAGGUCCAUGGAGUUAAGAGAGAAGGAAGAAAGAGGUGAGUUCUGGUUACAUUGGGGCCAUCCUCUGAAGGAUUAAGCAAACAAGACAAGAACGUUAUCUCAGUCCCUUGCCAGGCCUCCCCUCUAGGAAUCCUAGCCUAAGCCUCCUUCUGUCAUAAUCAGUCAUUUGUCUCUUCUACACUAGCCCUGAGUGGUCCACAGUCCCUCGUUGCCCCUCUCCCUUGCCUGCUUAUUAUCAUUGUCAUCUUGCCUGCUACCCAUCACCCCUCCACAUAGCUCAUAACUCACAACAGACUGUGAGCUUCUGACAGCCGAAAUCAGGCACAGCAGCUCCAGUGCCCAACCUGGCACAAGGAGAGGGUUUAUGCCAUCGUUGGAGGAGGGAACAAGUGAACAAAGAAUCAGCAAACAGACUCUGGACCUAGAGGUAGGCAAUUCACGAGAUGAGAAUCUCAUCGAUGGCACAUGGCUGUUAUCACUGACACCAAACUGCCGUGAGUUUUUAAAAGUGGAAUGCCAAAUUAGGGCGCAUUAAAUGAAGCACAGCAUCCAAAAAUGAGGAGGUUAUUAUACAUUCAUCUCUGGUGAAUGGUGGUCAGUUCCAAGCAGCUGUUUUAAUAGGAAUGUUUUAACAGGAAUAUUAAGUAAGUAGGAUAUAAACAAAGAAGACUGAUGAAGAGGUCUGGCCUGGAAAUGCUUGCCAUACAAAGAGUCAUUGGCCCCCCAAAAGAGGAAUUGUUUCAUUUAGGAGAACAGGAGCUGAAGGAAAAUGUGAUAGCAAAAUUUGGAUGUUUAAACACAG